GUGAAAUGGCUACGUAGAAAGUGUCAAAACAACCCUAGGUAAAUAGCCUGUGAUGUCUACUUUAUAUAAAUAUAUACUUUUGUGUGGCAAUUUUGUUUUCUUUUAUGGCUAUUAAGCUUACAAGACAAACAUACCAAAUUCUAAAAUCGCUCCGCAUUAAAGGUUUAGUUUACUCCUUGUGCUUUGUGACCUGUAACUACCAAA